rnacentral:tRNA from 1 species
UAGAGUAAAGCAUUUUAUACGUACAAAUGAUGCAAGAAAGUGUUAUUUUCUAGAAAAAAACUCUAG